rnacentral:rRNA from 1 species
UACGUAGGGGGCAAGCGUUGUCCGGAAUCAUUGGGCGUAAAGCGCGUGUAGGCGGUUCAGUAAGUCUGCUGUGAAAGUCCAGGGCUCAACCCUGGGAUGCCGGUCGAUACUGCCGGACUAGAGUUCGGAAGAGGCGAGUGGAAUUCCCGGUGUAGCGGUGAAAUGCGCAGAUAUCGGGAGGAACACCAAUGGCGAAGGCAGCUCGCUGGGACGUUACUGACGCUGAGACGCGAAAGCGUGGGGAGCAAACAGG